AGCGAACGCUGGCGGCAGGCCUAACACAUGCAAGUCGAACGAACCCUUCGGGGUUAGUGGCGGACGGGUGAGUAACACGUGGGAACGUGCCUUUAGGUUCGGAAUAACUCAGGGAAACUUGUGCUAAUACCGAAUGUGCCCUUCGGGGGAAAGAUUUAUCGCCUUUAGAGCGGCCCGCGUCUGAUUAGCUAGUUGGUGAGGUAAAGGCUCACCAAGGCUACGAUCAGUAGCUGGUCUGAGAGGAUGACCAGCCACAUUGGGACUGAGACACGGCCCAAACUCCUAUGGGAGGCAGCAGUGGGGAAUCUUGCGCAAUGGGCGAAAGCCUGACGCAGCCAUGCCACGUGGAUGAUGAAGGUCUUAGGAUUGUAAAAUCCUUUCACCGGUGAAGAUAAUGACUGUAGCCGGAGAAGAAGCCCCGGCUAACUUCGUGCCAGCCGCCGCCGUAAGAC
rnacentral:rRNA from 1 species